rnacentral:misc_RNA from 1 species
AAAAAAAGAGUAUUUAUUUCUUGUCAAUGUCUUGUCUUUAAUAAAUGCUUGUUGAGUCUUUAGGUCACUUAACAAAAUAAAACACCUCCUAAUAAAAAUAUUGGCAUACUUAACUAAAUUUGAGAAAUGCAAGGCAGAAAGGUGCCGUCUUGACACAUUGAAUUUCAAAUGGAGAGAAACUAUCCAUUGUAAUGACUCUUAAGCAGCAUAAGAAAGACUGGAGGAGGCAUCAAAUAACAAUGAAGCAUAGCAAAGAUGUUACAUACUGGGGUAAAAAAAAUCCAACUACCUGCACUGCAU